rnacentral:rRNA from 1 species
UCCGUAGGCGGGCAAUUAAGUCAGAGGUGAAAUCCCACAGCUCAACUGUGGAACUGCCUUUGAUACUGGUUGUCUUGAGUUACAGUGAAGUAGAUAGAAUAUGUAGUGUAGCGGUGAAAUGCAUAGAUAUUACAUAGAAUACCGAUUGCGAAGGCAGUCUACUAACUGUAUACUGACGCUAAUGGACGAAAGAGUGGGGAGCGAACAGGAUUAGAUACCCUGGUAGUCC